rnacentral:rRNA from 1 species
UACGUAGGGUGCAAGCGUUAAUCGGAAUUACUGGGCGUAAAGCGUGCGCAGGCGGCCUUGCAAGACAGAUGUGAAAUCCCCGGGCUUAACCUGGGAACUGCAUUUGUGACUGCAUGGCUGGAGUGCGGCAGAGGGGGAUGGAAUUCCGCGUGUAGCAGUGAAAUGCGUAGAUAUGCGGAGGAAUACCGAUGGCGAAGGCAGCCUCCUGGGCCAACACUGACGCUCAUGCACGAAAGCGUGGGGAGCAAACAGG